rnacentral:rRNA from 1 species
ACGAACGCUGGCGGCGUGCUUAACACAUGCAAGUCGAACGGAAAGGCCCUGCUUGCAGGGUACUCGAGUGGCGAACGGGUGAGUAACACGUGGGUGAUCUGCCCUGCACUUCGGGAUAAGCCUGGGAAACUGGGUCUAAUACCGGAUAGGAGCCAUCUUUAGUGUGGUGGUUGGAAAGUUUUUUCGGUGUAGGAUGAGCUCGCGGCCUAUCAGCUUGUUGGUGGGGUAAUGGCCUACCAAGGCGGCGACGGGUAGCCGGCCUGAGAGGGUGUACGGCCACAUUGGGACUGAGAUACGGCCCAGACUCCUACGGGAGGCAGCAGUGGGGAAUAUUGCACAAUGGGCGCAAGCCUGAUGCAGCGACGCCGCGUGGGGGAUGAAGGCCUUCGGGUUGUAAACUCCUUUCGCUAGGGACGAAGCGUUUUUGUGACGGUACCUAGAUAAGAAGCACCGGCUAACUACGUG